UACGUAGGGUGCAAGCGUUAAUCGGAAUUACUGGGCGUAAAGCGUGCGCAGGCGGUUGUGUAAGUCUGACGUGAAAUCCCCGGGCUUAACCUGGGAAUGGCGUUGGAGACUGCAUGGCUUGAGUGUGUCAGAGGGGGGUAGAAUUCCACGUGUAGCAGUGAAAUGCGUAGAGAUGUGGAGGAAUACCGAUGGCGAAGGCAGCCCCCUGGGAUAACACUGACGCUCAUGCACGAAAGCGUGGGGAGCAAACAGG
rnacentral:rRNA from 1 species